rnacentral:ribozyme from 1 species
UCCCCAGCAACUCCUAUCCCUACCUCCUCGCGGUACUGGCCGGGGUACGAGUAACCUUAGGGAAGAUCGGGUAACCAACCCCCGGUGGGAACUUUGGUCGUAUGCUGACAGGGAAGG